UCCGGUUGAUCCUGCCGGACCCCACUGCUAUCGGGAUGGGACUAAGACAUGCUAGUCGUGCGCUUCCAAGCCAUGGUGGAAGCGCGGCGCACAGCUCAGUAACACGUGGCUAACCUACCCUUGGGACGGGGACAACCCCGGGAAACUGGGGCUAAUCCCCGAUAGGUGAGGGCUCCUGGAAUGGAGCCUUGCCCAAAAAGCGUCUAGACCAUGCUUCUAGGCGCCGCCCAAGGAUGGGGCCGCGGCCGAUCAGGUUGUUGGUGAGGUAACGGCUCACCAAGCCUAUAACCGGUACGGGCCGUGAAAGCGGUAGCCCGGAGAUGGACACUGAGAUAAGGGUCCAGGCCCUAUGGGGCGCAGCAGGCGCGAAACCUCUGCAAUAGGCGAAAGCUUGACAGGGUUACUCUGAGUGAUGUCCGCUAAGGGCAUCUUUUGGCACUUCUAAAAAUAGUGUAGAAUAAGGGGUGGGCAAGUCUGGCGUCAGCCGCCGCGGUAAUACCAGCACCCCGAGUGGUCGGGACGAUUAUUGGGCCUAAAGCAUCCGUAGCCGGUUCUGCAAGUCUUCCGUUAAAUCCACCUGCUCAACAGAUGGGCUGCGGAGGAUACUACAGGGCUAGGAGGCGGGAGAGGCAAGCGGUACUCAGUGGGUAGGGGUAAAAUCCUCUGAUCCACUGAAGACCACCAGUGGCGAAGGCGGCUUGCCAGAACGCGCUCGACGGUGAGGGAUGAAAGCUGGGGGAGCAAACCGGAUUAGAUACCCGGGUAGUCCCAGCUGUAAACGAUGCAGACUCGGUGAUGGGUUGGCUUCGAGCCAACCCAGUGCCGCAGGGAAGCCGUUAAGUCUGCCGCCUGGGGAGUACGGUCGCAAGACUGAAACUUAAAGGAAUUGGCGGGGGAGCACCACAAGGGGUGAAGCCUGCGGUUCAAUUGGAGUCAACGCCGGAAAUCUUACCGGGAGCGACAGCAGAGUGAAGGUCAAGCUGAAGACUUUACCAGACAAGCUGAGAGGAGGUGCAUGGCC
rnacentral:rRNA from 1 species